GCUGUGGCUCAGUCGAAGAGCAUCUGCUUUGCACACAGACGGUCCCAGGUUCAAUUCCUGGCAUCUCCA